GCUUUUGGACCUUUGGUCUUCAAACACAUUUAGCUGAAAAUCAUUGGGAAACGUUUUCUGAAACAACCAGCUUUUGUUAUCAGUGAGUAUUUUAGCCCCUGCCUACUUAGAGAUAUGACCUUUUUAAUCACACGCAUGCUAUUAUUAAGAAAUAUACUUAUGACGAAGAGGUCAUCAUAUCGUUGUUAAUAAGUUACAGCGCUAAACAACUGAAAGGCCGAGACAAUUGUGUUAAAGCGAGGCGAACUGAAAGGUGAACCCCGAUCAUGUAUCAUGCCUUAAACACUGCUAGAGCUAAGGUUGGACCGCUGAGUGGGCCUAUAAACACUGCUAGAGCUAAGGUUGGACCGCUGAGUGAGCCUUUAAACACUGCUAGAGCUAAGGUUGGACCGCUGAGUGAGCCUUUAAACACUGCUAGAGCUAAGGUUGGACCGGUGAGUGGCCUUUAAACACUGCUAGAGCUAAGGUUGGACCGCUGAGUGGCCUUUAAACACUGCUAGAGCUAAGGUUGGACCGCUGAGUGGCCUUUAAACACUGCUAGAGCUAAGGUUGGACCGCU